rnacentral:rRNA from 1 species
AUUGGGCACGGGCGCAAGUCUGCACCAGCUAGGCGCGAGAAAGACUAAGGUCUUUAGAUUGUAAACUUCUUUUAUCUGGGAGGAAAAAACGUCUUUCUAGACUCCUUGCCGGUCCCAAAGGAAUAAGCCCCGGCUAACUCCGUCCCAGCAGCCGCGGUAAUACGGAGGGUCCAACCGUUAUCCGGAUUCACUGGGUUUAAAGGGUGCCUAGGCGGGCAGGUAAUUCAAUGGUAAAAUCCCGGAGCUCAACUCCAAAACUCCCAUUGAUACUAUCUGUCUUGAAUAUUGUGGAGGUAAUCGAAAUACGUCAGGUACCGGUGAAAUGCUAGAUAUGACAUAGAACACCCAUGCGAAGCAGCUUCCUACGCAUAUAUGACGCUGAUCAGGAAC